rnacentral:rRNA from 1 species
GGAGUCUGGGCCGUGUCUCAGUCCCAAUGUGGCCGUCCGGCCUCUCAGCCCGGCUACUGAUCGUCGCUUUGGUGAGCCGUUACCUCACCAACUAGCUAAUCAGACGCGGGUCCAUCCUAUACCACCGGAGUUUUUCACACUGCAUCAUGCGAUGCUGUGCGCUUAUGCGGUAUUAUCAGUCGUUUCCAACUGCUAUCCCCCAGUAUAGGGCAGGUUACCCACGCGUUACUCACCCGUCCGCCACUAAGUGAUCCAAAUGAAUUCCAUCAAGAGCAGGCUCAAUCAGGUCUUCGGGAGACCACUCCGUUCGACUUGCAUGUGUUAAGCACGCCGCCAGCGUUUAUC